AUUGAACGCUGGCGGCAUGCUUUACACAUGCAAGUCGAACGGUAGCACGGGGGCAUCCCUGGUGUCGAGUGGCGCACGGGUGAGUAAUACACCCGAACGUGCCCUGUCGGGGCGGAUUACGUAUCGACAGGUACGCUAAUACCGCAUACGAGCUGAGGAUGAAAGCGGGGGCCCCUCCGACCACGCGCGAUCGUGGCCUCCGAUGUCAGGUUUGUUAGGUGGUGGUGGAAAGGCCUACCGAGCCGACGAGCUGCAGCUGGCCUGCGAGGACGACCAGCCACACUAGGACUGAGACACGGCCCCGGCUCCUACGGGAGGCAGCAGUGGGGAAUUUUGGACAAUGGGCGCAAGCCUGAUCCAGCCAUGCCGCGUGCAGGACGCAGGCCUUCGGGUUGUAAACUGCUUUUGUACGGAACGAAAAGGCUCUGGCUAAUACCGGGGGGUCAUGACGGUACCGUAAGAAUAAGCACCGGCUAACUACGUG
rnacentral:rRNA from 1 species